rnacentral:rRNA from 1 species
GACGAACGCUGGCGGCGCGCUUAACACAUGCAAGUCGAACGGAAAGGCCUGCUUUUCCUUGUGGUUUGCGGGUCCUCGAGUGGCUAACGGGUGCGUAACUCGUGAGUCAUCUGGCCUCAACUUACGUCUAAACCCGGGAGACUGUGUCUAAUUACCUAUAGAACUGCAUGGUUGUGCCUGUGGUGACAAACUUGCUUCUAGUGGUUGAGGAUUGGCCCGCGGCUUAUCAGUUUGUUGGUGUGGUAAUUUCCUACCAAGGCGGCGACGGGGAGCCGUGCGGGGAGGGUGGACGGCAACAUUGGGACUGAGAUACGGCCCAGACUGGUACGGGAGGGAGGGGUGGGGAAUAUAGCAGAAGGGGCGGAAGCCUGAUGCAGCGACGCCGCGUGGGGGAUGACGGGGUUCGGGUUGUAAACUCCUUUCGAACGAGAGGAAGCGAAAUGGAUGGAAGGGUGGUGACGGUAGUGGUAGAAGAAGCACCGGCUAACUACGUG